GCGGUAGGGGAGCGUCGUAAUCGGGCUGAAGUCGUACCGUAAGGAGCGGUGGACUGAUUACGAGUGAGAAUGUUGGCAUUAGUAGCGAGAUGUAGGUGAGAAUCCUACAGGCCGAAUAUCUAAGGUUUCCUCAGGAAGGCUCGUCCGCUGAGGGUUAGUCGGGACCUAAGCCGAGGCCGAAAGGCGUAGGCGAUGGACAAUCGGUUGAUAUUCCGAUACCACUACCAUCGUUAUUAUCGAGGGUGUGACGGAGAAGGAUAGUGUGUGCUAGCGAUUGGAAAUGCUAGUCUAAGCGUUUAGGGAGUUACGGUAGGCAAAUCCCCUGUAACAAUUCUGAGGCGUGAUGGGGAAGGCCAUAUAGGCCGAAGUACAUGAUUCCAUGCUUCCAAGAAAAGCAUCUAGAGAGAGAAGUAGUGCCCGUACCGCAAACCGACACAGGUAGAUGAGGAGAGAAUCCUAAGGCCGGCGGAAGAAUUGCAGUUAAGGAACUAGGCAAAUUGACCCCGUAAGUUCGCGAGAAGGGGUGCCUGCGAGAGCAGGCCGCAGAGAAUAGGCCCAAGCAACUGUUUAGCAAAAACACAGGUCUCUGCUAAAGCGUAAGCUGAUGUAUAGGGGCUGACGCCUGCCCGGAGCUGGAAGGUUAAGGGGAACACUUAGCGCAAGCGAAGGUGUGAACUUAAGCCCCAGUAAACGGCGGCCGUAACAAUAACGGUCCUAAGGUAGCGAAAUUCCUUGUCAGGUAAGUUCUGACCCGCACGAAUGGCGUAAUGACAUGGGCACUGUCUCAACUGCAAAUCCGGCGAAGUUGUAGUGCGAGUGAAGAUGCUCGCUACCCGCGAUUGGACGGAAAGACCCCGUAGAGCUUUACUGUAGCUUAGCAUUGAAUUCCGGUAUUGUCUGUACAGGAUAGGUGGGAGACUGGGAAACUAGGGCGUCAGCCUUAGUGGAGUCAACCUUGGGAUACCACCCUGACAGUACUGGGGUUCUAACAGGACGCCAUGAAUCUGGUGACUGGACAUUGUUAGGUGGGCAGUUUGACUGGGGCGGUCGCCUCCUAAAAAGUAACGGAGGCGCCCAAAGGUUCCCUCAGAACGGUCGGAAAUCGUUCGUAGAGUGCAAAGGCAGAAGGGAGCCUGACUGCGAGACAUACAAGUCGAGCAGGGACGAAAGUCGGGCUUAGUGAUCCGGUGGUACCUCGUGGGAGGGCCAUCGCUCAACGGAUAAAAGCUACCUCGGGGAUAACAGGCUGAUCUCCCCCAAGAGUCCACAUCGACGGGGAGGUUUGGCACCUCGAUGUCAGCUCGUCGCAUCCUGGGGCUGUAGUAGGUCCCAAGGGUUGGGCUGUUCGCCCAUUAAAGCGGCACGCGAGCUGGGUUCAGAACGUCGUGAGACAGUUCGGUCCCUACCCGUCGCGGGCGUAGGAAAUUUGAGAGGAGCUGUCCUUAGUACGAGAGGUCCGGGAUGGACUGACCUCUGGUGCACCAGUUGUUCCGCCAGGAGCAUGGCUGGGUAGCUAAGUCGGGAAGGGAUAAACGCUGAAAGCAUCUAAGCGUGAAGCCUCCCUCAAGAUGAGAUUUCCCAUAGCAUAAGCUAGUAAGACCCCUUGAAGAACACAAGGUUGAUAGGUCAGAGGUGUAAGUGCGGUAACGUAUUUAGCUGACUGAUACUAAUAGGUCGAGGGCUUGACC
rnacentral:rRNA from 1 species